rnacentral:rRNA from 1 species
UACGAAGGGUGCAAACGUUGCUCGGAAUCAUUGGGCGUAAAGCGCACGUAGGCGGCUUCGCAAGUCGGAUGUGAAAUCCCGUGGCUCAACCAUGGACGUGCAUUCGAAACUACGAAGCUUGAGUAUGGAAGAGGGUCGCGGAAUUCCCGGUGUAGAGGUGAAAUUCGUAGAUAUCGGGAGGAACACCAGUGGCGAAGGCGGCGACCUGGGCCAAUACUGACGCUGAGGUGCGAAAGCGUGGGGAGCAAACAGG